rnacentral:rRNA from 1 species
GACGAACGCUGGCGGCGUGCCUAAUACAUGCAAGUCGAACGAGAGCGCCCGGUGCUUGCACUGGUCAAUCUAGUGGCGAACGGGUGAGUAACACGUGGGUAACUUGCCCAUCAGAGGGGGAUAACAUCCGGAAACGGAUGCUAAAACCGCAUAGGUCUUCGAACCGCAUGGUUUGAAGAGGAAAAGAGGCGCAAGCUUCUGCUGAUGGAUGGACCCGCGGUGCAUUAGCUAGUUGGUGAGGUAACGGCUCACCAAGGCCGUGAUGCAUAGCCGACCUGAGAGGGUGAUCGGCCACAUUGGGACUGAGACACGGCCCAAACUCCUACGGGAGGCAGCAGUAGGGAAUCUUCCGCAAUGGACGCAAGUCUGACGGAGCAACGCCGCGUGAGUGAAGAAGGUUUUCGGAUCGUAAAACUCUGUUGUUAGAGAAGAACAAGUGCUAGAGUAACUGUUAGCGCCUUGACGGUAUCUAACCAGAAAGCCACGGCUAACUACGUG